GUCAGGUGUGGUGGCCCAUACCUGUAAUCUCUUCUGCAAAUGUUGAGACUGGCAGCUCUCUUGAGCUUGAGAGUUUGAGCUACAAUGUGCUAAGACAAUAAGAUAUCCACACUAAAUUUGGCAUUAAUAUAGUAAUCCUCCAGGAGUAGGGUGGUCACCAGAUUUCCUGAGGAUGGGUAAAUUGGCCCAGAUUAGAAAUAAACAGAUCAAGACUCAUGUACUAAUUAGAGUGGGAUUGACUCAGGAAUGUCUCCUUCAUUUUUUGGUCUGGUUGAAAUAGGGAGAUCCAGUU
rnacentral:SRP_RNA from 1 species